rnacentral:rRNA from 1 species
UACGGAGGGUGCAAGCGUUAUCCGGAUUCACUGGGUUUAAAGGGUGCGUAGGCGGGCAGGUAAGUCCGUGGUGAAAUCUCUGAGCCUUAACUCAGAAACUGCCAUGGAUACUAUUUGUCUUGAAUAUUGUGGAGGUGAGCGGAAUAUGUCAUGUAGCGGUGAAAUGCUUAGAUAUGACAUAGAACACCAAUGCGAAGGCAGCUCACUACACAGUUAUUGACGCUGAGGCACGAAAGCGUGGGGAUCAAACAGG